AUCACGGAAGCCUAGGAGCCAUGACUGUUCCUCAAAAUAAGACUGUAACUGUAAAGCUUUUCUCACUUUUAAAACCAUGCACACACAACAAACCUAAGGCGCUAUAAUGUCCAAUUACGUAGGCGAGCUGCUGUAUGGAAGAUAUUGUCACAAUGCAUUCUCACAUUGCCAAAAGGUUCAUCCCUGGUGGUCUAGUGUUCAGGAUUUGGUGUUUUCACUGCCGCGGCCUGGGUUCGAUUCCCGGUCAGGGAAAAAGCACUGUUAGUAUGUUAUAGUUUCCUGUUGUGUUAUAUUACUGUAACCUUGAUCGUAUUUACUUGUACACUGAGGUCUGUGAUAUGCAGAUUUCCUGAAUAUGUUUAUGGCAUAAGGAUUACAAUUCUGUCCCAAUGCUUUGUGGGUGAGCCAAACAACCAAUGUGUAAAAUUGUAAUUCCUAUUUCGUAACAAAACUACGAACACUCUUACAUUGAAUUGGUCAGAAAGCAUCCCCCUCCUCAAAAGGCACAUUGACCUCUUUUCCAUGUGUAAUUCAUUUUUAUCUUGUACAAAGCACUUGAUCACAGAUCCUCUACACUAUACAGGGACUACAAUAUUUUCUAGGAUUUUACACAUUUCUGUUUAUGUUCAUUUGACAUGAAUGGUGGCCAUUUGGUUUCACAAGACCUCUCAACGCUAAUGGUAACAACAGACAAUUUUACUUUCUAGAUGUAUCUUUCAGACACAUAUUGAAACAUGCAGGAAGGUAUUUGGGAAUUAAAAUGUUACUGUAUUUGUGUUUCACUUGACGUACACGAGAUUUCUACAUUUCACAAGAUUCAAGAUAACUUCACCAGACUGCUUAGACUUCACAUAGUCUUUUCUACAGCACUUUUUGCAUCAACGUUUGGUUAAAUUUAAAUGUCAUGUAAUUCCGUUGAGGACACCUUAGAGGCCAUCACAGUGUUAACUUGUCUACCAAGUUUUGGAAAACGGAAUUAUAAUGUGCAUUGGGCAGAAAUCCAAACCAGGUCACCUGCUGGAGGGGUGGGGGGCAGCUGUUCUUACCACUAUCCUAGCAUAACUGGCCCUGCCUUGAAAGUGUGAUAGAUUCCCUCGAGUUAUUUGACAAAAGGUUGUUUUGCUUGAUCAAAUCUCAGUCUACAAAACAAUAACAGUGUUUGCCAUCCAAAACCUCUUGAUAUAUUGACCAAACCAAAGAGAUCCACACUGACCUCAUGGACCUUUAUUAAAGGCAAAUGUUAUGAGGCACAAGCAAGAACAAAGCUCCAAAGGAAACUUUGCUUGAAGUUUUGGUGAAAGGCAAGUUCUCGGAAGCCUAGAACACAGCCAACCACACUUUAGCUCCUGUGUAGGAUUAAACUUUGAAUUUUGCGUCUGCUUUGAAACAAAACUUAUGAGUCAUACUUAAUGAGUCUUUAAAGCAAUGUUGGUAUUUGUUAUCAUAGACCUCUUGCUACCUUCAGCAAACCAUGAAAACCACGAAAGUCUUAAGACUGACCUGCAAAAACUGUAUUAAAGACAAAUUGUACAUGGCACAUGUAAGACCAAAUCCCCAAAAUAAACUGUGGUCCAAGUCUGAGGUAAAGGUAGCAUCGCGGAAGCCUAGGAGCCAUGACUGUCCCUCAAAAUAAGACUGUAACUGUAAAGCUUUUCUCACUUUUAAAACCAUGCACACACAACAAACCUAAGGCGCUACAAUGUCCAAUUACGUAGGCGAGCUGCCGUAUGGAAGAUAUUGUCACAAUGCAUUCUCACAAUGCCAAAAGGUUCAUCCCUGGUGGUCUAGUGGUCAGGAUUUGGCGCUCUCACUGCCGUGGCCUGGGUUCGAUUCCCGGUCAGGGAAAAAACCCUGUUAGUAUAUUAUAGUUUCCUGUUGUGUUAUAUUACUGUAACCUUGAUCGUAUUUACUUGUACACUGAGGUCAGUGAUAUGCAGAUUUCCUGAAUAUGUUUAUGGCAUAAGGAUUACAAUUCUGUCCCAAUGCUUUGUGGGCGAGCCAAACAACCAAUGUGUAAAAUUGUAAUUCCUAUUUUGUAACAAAACUACAAACACUCUUACAUUGAAUUGGUCAGAAAGCAUCCCCCUCCUCAAAAGGCACAUUGACCUCUUUUCCAUGUGUAAUUCAUUUUUAUCUUGUACAAAGCACUUGAUCACAGAUCCUCUACACUAUACAGGGACUACAAUAUUUUCUAGGAUUUUACACAUUUCUGUUUAUGUUCAUUUGGCAUGAAUGGUGGCCAUUUGGUUUCACAAGACCUCUCAACGCUAAUGGUAACAACAGACAAUUUUACUUUCUAAAUGUAUCUUUCAGACACAUAUUGAAACAUGCAGGAAGGUAUUUGGGAAUUAAAAUGUUACUGUAUUUGUGUUUCACUUGAAGUACACGAGAUUUCUACAUUUCACAAGAUUCAAGAUAACUUCACCAGACUGCUUAGACUUCACAGAGUCUUUUCUACAGCACUUUUUGCAUCAACGUUUGGUUAAAUUUAAAUGUCAUGUAAUUCCGUUGAGAACACCUUAGAGGCCAUCACAGUGUUAACUUGUCUACCAAGUUUUGGAAAACGGAAAUAUAAUGUGCAUUGGGCAGAAAUCCAAACCAGGUCACCUGGUGGGGGGGGCAGCUGUUCUUACCACUAUCCUAGCAUAACUGGCCCUGCCUUGAAAGUGUGAUAGAUUCCCUCGAGUUAUUUGACAAAAGGUUGUUUUGCUUGAUCAAAUCUCAGUCUACAAAACAAUAACAGUGUUUGCCAUCCAAAACCUCUUGAUAUAUUGACCAAACCAAAGAGAUCCUCACUGACCUCAUGGACCUUUAUUAAAGGCAAAUGUUAUGAGGCACAAGCAAGAGCAAAGCUCCAAAGGAAACUUUGCUUGAAGCUUUGGUGAAAGGCAAGUUCUCGGAAGCCUAGAACACAGCCAACCACACUUUAGCUCUGGUUUAGGAUUAAACUUUGAAUUUUGCGUCUGCUUUGAAACAAAACUUAUGAGUCAUACUUAAUGAGUCUUUAAAGCAAUGUUGGUAUUCGUUAUCAUAGACCUCUUGCUACCUUCAGCAAACCAUGAAAACCACGAAAGUCUUAAGACUGACCUGCAAAAACUGUAUUAAAGACAAAUUGUACAUGGCACAUGUAAGACCAAAUCCCCAAAAGAAACUGUGGUCCAAGUCUGAGGUAAAGGUAGCAUCACGGAAGCCUAGGAGCCAUGACUGUUCCUCAAAAUAAGACUGUAACUGUAAAGCUUUUCUCACUUUUAAAACCAUGCACACACAACAAACCUAAGGCGCUACAAUGUCCAAUUACGUAGGCGAGCUGCCGUAUGGAAAAUAUUGUCACAAUGCAUUCUCACAUUGUCAAAAGGUUCAUCCCUGGUGGUCUAGUGGUCAGGAUUCAGCGUUUUCACCACCGCGGCCUGGGUUCGAUUCCUGGUCAAGGAAAAAACCCUGUUAGUAUGUUAUAGAUUCCUGUUGUGUUAUAUUACUGUAACCUUGAUCGUAUUUACUUGUACACUGAGGUCAGUGAUAUGCAGAUUUCCUGAAUAUGUUUAUGGCAUAAUGAUUACAAUUCUGUCCCAAUGCUUUGUGGGCGAGCCAAACAACCAAUGUGUAAAAUUGUAAUUCCUAUUUUGUAACAAAACUACGAACACUCUUACAUUGAAUUGGUCAGAAAGCAUCCCCCUCCUCAAAAUGCACAUUGACCUCUUUUCCAUGU